ACACAUGUACACACACACACACACACACACACGCACGCACACAGAGGGAGUGUACUUUUGGAGAGGUUGGAUUCAGGGACGCAAAACAAAAUGACAACUUUAAGACAGCUUUGCUGGACACACUGUAUUAUUUGCCAAACUAUAUACAAAGCUAUCAUAUUAGGAGCCUCCAAGAUAAAGAGUGGUUGGAUUUGGCUGUGAGCGUGAAUAUUCGACAAGAAUUUUCCACUGGAUUCUGAGGCAAAUCUACGUAGUCCAUCAAUGUCUCUGGGGGAACAUGGUUAAUGUAAUUUAGCACCUCAAUAUGAGUGCUAACAUCUUUGACAGGAGAGUCUAUUUGUGGUGAUUAAACACUUCACAAUGAACCGUAAGGGGCUGCGCCUACAUUGAACCACUCUGAUGAGGGAGACAUAAAUGCAGCCCGCUCUAUAUAUCCAAGUCACCUUUCUCGUGCAGGCUUGUUCCAGGUGCAAUGGCUGUACCUCAGAAAAUCUGUUCCACCCGACCUCAGAGUACAGGGCUGAGCUGGGGGCCCAGCAGCUGCUGGUGCAUUCAGUUAAAUACAUGUUUUUCUCAUUGUUGUCUCAUGACAUUUUGCUACAAUGAAGCAAUGUAUGUGUUUAGGAAGUUGUGUCUGCAAUGAAGACAAGAAGAAGACACACCCCUGCCCAUGUAAGGACCAGGCAAGCCAAAGUGACAUCGUCUCCAACGCAGCCCUUCCAUGCACUCAUAUAAAAACCUGUGAUUUGUUAAAGUUGUCUCCCACAUGAAAUGAGCGUGAAAGAAUGAACCAGUCCCGAUCUUUUAAACCACAUCCUUUAUUCGGAAGAAUCCACACUUCGAAGAGUCCACAGGAGAUAACCCGUUCCCUGCAGGAAACCACUUACUCUGGUGAUGUUUUAGUGGGAUCUUUUCAUAGGUGCCUCGUGCUAUCUGCUUUCCAUGCCCCCGCUUCCUGCUGGAAUUUGCGGCAAUCGGAAUUUGCCCGCAAUGUGUAUGUGUCACAGAGCCACAGAGAUGUUCCUAAUGAUGCGUUUGCUGAGCUUCGAACACAACAAAUGCUUCAAGGGGGUCUCUUGGGAAGUGAGGCUGCCUGGCACAGCCCUAGUAAGAGCUAAGAGAGACACACGCUGCCCCAAUCUCGGUGUAAACACCAGCCUUUUAAUAAUAGUUGUUCAUUAAUUAAUAGUCAACAAGAUUUGAAAGGGUGCCAGGUAUUCUUUUAAAAUCUUCACCAGCAAUUUCCACAUUAAAAAAAAAAAUCUAUAGACCUUUUUUACUUUGACGAAAAUGAUAUACUCCAGCUUGACUGCAUGACAUUUGUUUUAGCUUUUUUUUUCCUUUUUAACCUGAAUGUUUUGUUGCUGAAUCCCAUUUAUGGCUCAGUACCUCACUGUGAAUAAAAAUAGACACGUUUUUUAACAGGGCGUAUCGUCCAAAACACUUGAUAGAUUCUGAACACGUGUUUGGGAGGCUCAGGAACAAGCACUGAGUGACCGACCACUCUGUGGCAACAGAGGUUUGUGCUGUAGGUAGCUGGCAUCAAGGGCUGAUAUUCACAGUGUUGCAAGGACACUGUCAAGAGAAGACCCGGCAGAUGAGUGUGUUAUGCUGUGCGCUCAAAGGGACCAAUGCUGUGAAUGAGAGAGAGCAGAAGACACAAAGGGGACAGAUGAGGGUGACCUGUGAGCAAAGCCUUGAAGGAGACAGGAGACAGAGGACACUUGGAGUCAGAGCUGUGGUCCUGUGGUGAAGUGUGUCUGGGGUGGGAAGAAACUGGGUUCAAGAAAAUGGCAGAAGCAGUGGAGGGGCCUAGAGUUGGGGAAGAGAUCAAAGAAGUCACAGGGACUAUCAGCCUUGGAGGCACUGAAGGAAGGGCUUUGCCCAGGUGGAGAUACAAGGUGUUUCACAGGGGUCAGGAGACAGUAUCCUGGGCUAACUGGACAGAGAGCACAGUCCUGCCUAUACCGUAGUGCUCCCUGCAAACAUUUUGAGGACUAGUCUCUGGAACCCAUGGCUGAGACAUGCUUUGCAGAAGUUGUCGAGUCCAGAUUAGGUCAUGAGGAAGGGACUUACUCACAGAUGGCUAAUUUACUACAAAGAGAAAGAGAUGAGGAUCACACCAUGGGAUUUGGAGACAGACUGGGUCUGUACCCAUGUACUGGCCACGGACUGAUGCUAUCUUAGUGAAUUUUCUAUCUUAGCGAAGAGCCAAGGGAACUUAUAAAGGACAAAGUUUAAUGGGGCUCACAGUUCCAGAAGGUUAGUGUGUACGACCAUCAUGGCAGCAGGCAGGCAGGCAGGCAGGCAUGGUGCUGGAGCAGUAGCUGACAGCUUACAACCAGAUCUAUAGACUUGAUGCAGAGAAAGAGAGAUAACUGGAAAUGGGAAGUGACACUCCCUCUCCAACAAGGCCACACCUUCUCAUCCUUCCCAAACAGUUCCACUAACUGGAGACCAAGCAUUCAAAUACAUGAAUGGAUUGAGCCAUUAUCAGUCAAACCACCACAGCCACCAUAGGCUGAAGUGAGGAAAGGUGGUCGCCUACAGCCUUCCAUAGGAGCAUAGCUCUGGAGACACCUCAACUUUUGACUCCUUACAUAGGGUGGAAUAAGGUGGGUGGGGCUUGUGAGAGAGCAAUGUGAGGCAAGGAUCAGAAACCCUGUGUCUUAAGCUGAUACUUGUUUCAAACUGUUUGUUCAACCACAAUGCAGGAGACAUGGUUUGACAAUGCUAGUGCAUGCUGGGAUGCCAGCUAUCCUAGUGCAUGCUGGGAUGCCAGCUCAUCCUAGUGCAUGCUGGGAUGCCAGCUCAUCCUAGUGCAUGCUGGGAUGCCAGCUCAUCCUAGUGCAUGCUGGGAUGCCAGCUCAUCCUAGUGCAUGCUGGGUUGCCAGCUCAUCCUAGUGCAUGCUGGGAUGCCAGCUCAUCCUAGUGCAUGCUGGGAUGUCAGCUCAUCCUAGUGCAUGCUGGGUGUCAGCUUAUCCUAGUGCAUGCUGGGUGUCAGCUUACCCUACUGCAUGCUGGGGUAUCAGCUAAUCCUACUGCAUGCUGGGAUACUAGCUUAUUUUACUGCAUACUGGGCUCCUGGCCAUCUCCCUGGUUUCUUUUGCACCUUUCCCUGGUUUCUUCUUCAAUCUCUACUCACAAUGUAUGAAUGACUUCUUCCAUGUCAGAGAGACGACUCUGCCACUAUGCAGCAUUUUCCACUUAAGCAUGAUGUAAACACACGUGAGAUGCGUCCCCAUCAGCAAUUACAACAACUCCAGUCAGCAGCUUCACAGGACUUAAAAAAUAACAUACCAGAAAGAAAAAAAAAAGAAAAAGAAAAAAAGACCAUGUCAAAGGUACCGUGAGAAGAAACAAA
rnacentral:sRNA from 1 species